UACGGGGGAUGCAAGCGUUAUCCGGAAUUAUUGGGCGUAAAGCGUCCGCAGGUGGUUUAUCAAGUCUGCUGUCAAAUCGUAGGGCUUAACCCUGUAAAGGCAGUGGAAACUGAGAGACUAGAGUACGGUAGGGGUAGCGGGAAUUCCCAGUGUAGCGGUGAAAUGCGUAGAUAUUGGGAAGAACACCAGCGGCGAAGGCGCGCUACUGGGCCGAAACUGACACUCAUGGACGAAAGCUAGGGGAGCGAAAGGG
rnacentral:rRNA from 1 species